rnacentral:tRNA from 1 species
GUGGGUGUAGCUCAGCGGCAGAGUGUAUACCUAGCAUAUAUAAGGCCCUGUGUUCACUUCCCAGCACACACA